GCCCAUCUUCGCGUGUCUCGGAGUCGGGUUGUUUGGGAGCGCAGCCCAAAGUAGGUGGUAAACUUCAUCUAAGACUUAAUAUGACUACGAGUCCGAUAGCGAACAAGUACCGUGAGGGAAAGUUGCAAAGCACUUUGAAGAGAGAGUUAAAGAGGACGUGAAACCGAUGAGGUGGAAACGGACAGAGCUGGCGUAUCUGGCCUGCAUUCAGCCGCGCCCCGCUGGCGUCAGGGAUGCCGCUCUCCAGAUUGGGACGGUGGUCUGACUGCUCGGUGGGUUCCGUGGUGCAUUUGCAGGUGGAGUGCGCCGAGGCGCUCGGUGCAGCGGCAUGAGCUUGGCUUUGAGGCCAGCCUCGCAAGAGGUCUGGUACCCGGGCCAGGGGAGUGCUGUUUGCGCUGGGCGCAGCAAAGGGCAAUGGUCUCGGGCUCGUGUGGGUGCCGAGCUGGCGGUCGGCGUCGGUCGCGUGCGACACGUGCCUUCAGUCAGUUCGGUCCUGCUCGAGCUCACAUCUGCUCGACCUCGGUGUAAAAGCCGGUCAUCUGUCCGACCCGUCUUGAAACACGGACCAA
rnacentral:rRNA from 1 species